CCUACGGGCGGCAGCAGUGAGGAAUAUUGGUCAAUGGACGAGAGUCUGAACCAGCCAAGUAGCGUGAAGGAUGACUGCCCUAUGGGUUGUAAACUUCUUUUAUAUGGGAAUAAAACGUUCCACGUGUGGGAUUUUGUAUGUACCAUAUGACUAAGGAUCGGCUAACUCCGUGCCAGCAGCCGCGGUAAUACGGAGGAUCCGAGCGUUAUCCGGAUUUAUUGGGUUUAAAGGGAGCGUAGGUGGAUUGUUAAGUCAGUUGUGAAAGUUUGCGGCUCAACCGUAAAAUUGCAGUUGAAACUGGCAGUCUUGAGUACAGUAGAGGUGGGCGGAAUUCGUGGUGUAGUGGUGAAAUGCUUAGAUAUCACGAAGAACUCCGAUUGCGAAGGCAGUUCACUGGACUGCAACUGACACUGAGGCUCGAAAGUGUGGGUAUCAAACAGGAUUAGAUACCCUUGUAGUC
rnacentral:rRNA from 1 species